rnacentral:rRNA from 1 species
ACAUGCAAGUCGAGCGAAUGGAUUAAGAGCUUGCUCUUAUGAAGUUAGCGGCGGACGGGUGAGUAACACGUGGGUAACCUGCCCAUAAGACUGGGAUAACUCCGGGAAACCGGGGCUAAUACCGGAUAACAUUUUGAACCGCAUGGUUCGAAAUUGAAAGGCGGCUUCGGCUGUCACUUAUGGAUGGACCCGCGUCGCAUUAGCUAGUUGGUGAGGUAACGGCUCACCAAGGCAACGAUGCGUAGCCGACCUGAGAGGGUGAUCGGCCACACUGGGACUGAGACACGGCCCAGACUCCUACGGGAGGCAGCAGUAGGGAAUCUUCCGCAAUGGACGAAAGUCUGACGGAGCAACGCCGCGUGAGUGAUGAAGGCUUUCGGGUCGUAAAACUCUGUUGUUAGGGAAGAACAAGUGCUAGUUGAAUAAGCUGGCACCUUGAACGGUACCUAACCAGAAAGCCACGGCUAACUACGUGCCAGCAGCCGCGGUAAUACGUAGGUGGCAAGCGUUAUCCGGAAUUAU